rnacentral:rRNA from 1 species
AUGUUUCCUUUUUUUGGUCUAACCUGUCGUAAUUUUGUCUCGUCGGUCCAUCUAUAUGAGAACCUUCGAAGUGGAAGUCACAAGGUGGAGCCUUUGACAGGAAAAUGUUUCCUGUGUUUUGGUCUAACCUGUCGUAAUUUUGUCUCGUCGGUCCAUCUAUAUGAGAACCUUCGAAGUGGAAGUCACAAGGUGGAGCCUUUGACAGGAAAAUGUUUCCUGUUUUUUGGUCUAACCUGUCGUAAUUUUUUCUCGUUGGUCCAUCUAUACGAGAACCUUCUAUGUGGAAGUCACAUGGUGGAGUCUCAGUAUGUUUUUAUUCAAGGUAAGCUGAAAAGUUUUUACAUGAUAUUUGAACUGAAACUUAACUAUGUCAUGACUGAUACUUCAUUUAAGACUCCUGGCUGA